rnacentral:misc_RNA from 1 species
CAGGGGGGAGAGCUCUUUCCAAAUCAAUGCACAAGGUUACAAGUUCAUCAAGAAACUUGGAUGCAGCAUGAGGAAGCAAGUGAAAAAGCUCAAUAAUAGCGGCUGCUUAAGAAAUGGUUAGAACCUGAAAAGCCUUCCAUGACUUUUGACUCUGGGAAAGCUUUUCAGGUUCUAACCAUUUCUUAAGGUGCUCCAAUAGCUUGCCACCCAAGGUAACAUUAAACCAAUUGGACAAAAGUUCAAGCAGGCGGGCAAGACCCUGCAGAAGAGGCAUGCUAAGAUUUUUCGUGUGUGCCAAGUUCACUAGAAUUGGCCUCAGGCUGCUCUGCAGAAGUUCUUUGGGCAUCC